UGGUAAUGCCGGAUGCUCCAUCACACCGCAUGGUGUGUUGGGAAAGCCUUUGCGGCAUGGGAUGGGGUCGCGUCCUAUCAGCUUGAUGGCGGGGUAACGGCCCACCAUGGCUUCGACGGGUAGCCGGCCUGAGAGGGCGACCGGCCACAUUGGGACUGAGAUACGGCCCAGACUCCUACGGGAGGCAGCAGUGGGGAAUAUUGCACAAUGGGCGCAAGCCUGAUGCAGCGACGCCGCGUGAGGGAUGGAGGCCUUCGGGUUGUAAACCUCUUUUGUUAGGGAGCAAGGCAUUUUGUGUUGAGUGUACCUUUCGAAUAAGCACCGGCUAACUACGUGCCAGCAGCCGCGGUAAUACGUAGGGUGCAAGCGUUAUCCGGAAUUAUUGGGCGUAAAGGGCUCGUAGGCGGUUCGUCGCGUCCGGUGUGAAAGUCCAUCGCUUAACGGUGGAUCCGCGCCGGGUACGGGCGGGCUUGAGUGCGGUAGGGGAGACUGGAAUUCCCGGUGUAACGGUGGAAUGUGUAGAUAUCGAG
rnacentral:rRNA from 1 species